GGAGAGGUGUCUGAGUGGUUUAUGGUCUAGAUUUGGAAAAUCUAUCUAGUAUAAAAACUAGCGAGGGUUCGAAUCCCUCCCUUUCCG
rnacentral:tRNA from 1 species